CUGAGCUAGCUGCACAGCAACCAUGAGGGGAACUUGUCAGAAAUACAGAUCCCAGGUUCCAGGUCCCAAGUCCCAGUGAGUCUCACUCAGUAGGUUUUUGCUCCUGCCUAGGAAUCUGUGGUUCAAGCAAGCAUCCUAGGGCAUCUGGGUUAACAAAACAGCAACAGAGACAAAAUAAGUUUAUAGAAGACACUAAUGUGAGCCACAGGUUAUGGUACCAAAAGCAGAGAGAAGGGGACAGAGCCGAUACUGAGAAUCCAAGCCGAAGACAGACACUGGAUGGUGGAAGAUAGAAGCCAGGGACCAGGACAAAUGAUGACCUUUAGCCACACAGUGCGGGGAACAAAGCCUUAGCCCUCAAGUCAGGAGGCCUGGCUAUGGCUGUUUCCCACCGGCACAUUCUGAAAUCUUCUCUAAACCCCUCACAGUGAAAAUGAGACCGCCC